AGGCAUAUGGAAGUUCCCAGGCUAGGGGUCUAAUCAGUGCUGUAGCCCCUGGCCUACACCAGAGCUGCAGCAACACCAGAUCCGAGACGCAUCUUCGACCUACACCACAGCUCACAGCACCGCUGGAUCCUUAAUGCACUGAGGGAGACCAGGGAUUGAACCCACAACCUCAUGGUUCCUAGUUAGAUUCAUUAACCACUGAGCCACGACAGGAACUCCUAUAUUGCCAUUUUUGAUAAGACAAAUUAUAUUCUAUACACAACCAAAAGACAACCCAGUUUAAAAAGGGCUUGAAUUAGUUAUCCAAAGAAGGUAUACAAAUGGCCAAAAAGUACAUGAAAAGAUGCUCAAUAUCAUUUGUCACUAAGAAAUGCAAAUCAAAAGCAAAUGAGAUAUCACUUCACACCCUCUAGGAUGGCUGUUAUUAAAAAAAAAAAAAAAGAGAAAGCAGGAAGUGUUGCUGUGGAAGUGUCUCCUUAGCCUUUGCGGUCCCUCAAAAAGUUAAACAUAGAAAUUACCAUUUGAGGAGUUCCCGUCGUGGCUGGCGCGGUGGAAACGAAUCCGACUAGGAGCCAUGAGGUUUCGAGUUCCAUCCCUGGCCUCGCUCAGUGGGUUAAAGAUCCGGUGUUGCCGUGAGCUGUGGUGUAGGUCGAAGACUCGGCUUGGAUCUGGCGUUGCUGUGGCUCUGGUGUAGGCCGGCAGCAAUAGCUCCGAUUAGACCCCUAGACUGGGAACCUCCAUUUGCUGCGGAUGGGGCCCUAAAAAAAGGACAAAAGACAAAAAGAAAAAAAAAAAAAUCAUUUGAUUCAGCAACUUCAUUCCCAGGUAUGUACCCCUCAAAAUUGAAAAUAGGGAUUCAAACAAACAUGUAUACAUGCAUAUUCAUAGCAGCACUAAUAACUAAAAGGAGGCAGCAAGAGUACCCACUGUGGCUCAGCUGGUUAAGAACCCAACUAGUGUCCAUGAGGAUGUGGGUUCAAUCCCUGGCCUUCCGCUCAGCAGGUUGAAGGAUCCAGCAUUGCUGUGAGCUGCAGGGUAGGUUGCAGAUGUGGCUCGGAUUCAGCGUUGCUGUGGUUGUACCACAGGCCAGCAAGCUGCAGCUCUGAUUCCACCACUAGCCUGGGAACCUCCAUAUGCUGUGGGUACAGUCCUAAAAAGCACAAUUAAUAAAUAAAUUUUAAAAAAGAAUGCAAAUUUCUUUUGUAACAAGGAUAAACAGUUUUCCAAAAGUGACUGCAGUGUUAAGUCAAUCCUUCCUUCCACCCUUCCACUUCUGGAAGUUCAUGCUGCAAUUCUAUGGACACAUAAGCAGUACUUACACAUGUUUUUGGUGCUUCCCAGCCCUUAGGUAGCUUAUAACUUUCUAUAUGAUGAGCAGUGAACAGGAGGAGCAUGACUGGAGAGAAAUCACAGCGAUGGCAGAAUGUGCUGACUGUCCCCAAUAUCCACAAGUAGAGCCAAGGCAGGAGUACCCAGCUUAAGAAAAGUGAGGGUUAGGGAGGAAGCCUCUCAGCCCAUUGUCACUGAAGAAGAAACACUUUUUUUGUACCUACUGUUAGCCUGGCACUGCUAGUUUUGAUGCUGCUUUUGGUCCUUGAGCAAGCCUCUGAACUUUUUUUUUUUUUUUUUUUUACUUCAUGCAGUGGCUUGAUGUGGGAUCUCAUUUCCCAGACCAGGGACUGAACCUGGGUGGCAGUGAUGAAAGCACCAAAUCCUAUCUCUAGACUACCAGGGAACUCCCAUCAACCUCUGAAUCUUGAUGGGCCUCUGCCCACUACUCUGUGAAAAACGCAUAAGCUGGACUGCGAAAGCCUGGAGCCUUUCACUUCUGACGCAUUAUGACCUUACACUCACUGGAGGCAGACUUUACUCUGAUGGCCCCCAAAGCAAUGGUAACUCUCGCUCCUCUUGUAAAGAGGCUGUCUGGUGGGCCACCUUCCCAGUCUGAGUGUGCUCAGCCCAUUCACUCUGCUCACCCCAGCCAGGCGAAGACCAGAUGGCAGAUCAAGACCUGAGCUUCCCUGGAAUGUAGGCUGGGGAGUGGGGAAGGGGCUGCCAUAUCCUUGCUCUGAAUAUCCAACUCUCUCACCCUCCGCCUGUACUUUUUUUUGCUUUAGGACUUUUUAUUUUCUUACCUGGUUAUGUUCAGAAGAUUUCAUAAGAUGGUCUCUAGUUGAAACCCACCAAACAAAAACAUAGUAAAACCUGUAAUUAGAAAUUCUAUGUAACUCUAAGGAAUUCAGUUUAAUUCCACUUUAAAGUCUGUUAAUACAAUGUUUGGGGUUUGCCCUUUAUUAUCUCCUGCAAGGUGAAGAGGUGGUCAGCUUUAUUCCAUGUAAGGCAGAUCCUCCGCAUCCAUUCCUUUUUUGCCAAUAACCCAUCAGCUCCUAAUGCCCAGAGUCCAGCCCCUGCAAUCCUCCACUGCAAUUUGUUUCCAACACUGUUGGCUGCAGCUCUGUAAACACUGACACGCAAUCUCUGCUAGAAAAAGCCCUCCCCAGAUAAGGCUACUGGACGGAGGAUGCCAAAACAGGAAGGAAGAGCCUCAUUUUCACACAAUGGAUUACUUUAAAUAUUAGCUAUUAAAGUAACUUUUUAGAGAAAUAACUUGUUCAGUGGUUUAAUCGUUAAGUCAACCCGUUUCUUUCGGUUCUGAUUCUACCUUCUUGUGUUUGGGUGGCCCUGAACAAAUGGUAGUAGCUCUGUAUUUUAAUUCCUCAUCUUUUAAAUGGAUAGGUAUUUCAUGGAGCCAAAGAAUAACCAGUAAAAAUCCUGAUUUACCAUAAAAAUGGUGAAGUUUCACAAUAAGUAUAGCCUUGGGGUAGGGGUCAUUAUCUGCCAAAUUCUUCAACGCAUUUAUCUGUUGACUAAAAGUCAUCCUACUUUGAGGUAUCCAAAGACCUACACAUCUAACAAAAAUGUACACAGAUGCUCACUGCAGUGUUAGGACUAGCAAGACAGGAGACGUGAAUGACCAGAUGUAUUAUGGGGCAUCACACUAUGAAAUCAUCACUUUUGUGUCUGAAUUGUGUGAUGAAAGAAAAAAAACAAAACCCUACAUUAUAAAAAUGUGUUAGGAAUCUCUCUAAUCCCUUUUCACUGAUUUUCUGGCCACUGUUGCCUUUGUCUCCAUACACUGGACCCUACCACUCCUCAUAUUGACAACUUAAGAGAUCUAUCAUAAUUCCUCGUGUUGCUCAAUCUGUUACUUUUCAGUGGGUGACCAAUAAAUCCGGCUACAUAGAAGGUCCAUGCCAAUGGACACACCUAAAGGCCUGAGUGAUUAGGCUGCCUCCUGGUAGAUGCCAUCUAUUUCACCCUCACUGGAAGAUGGGCUUUAUAUAUUGUGGACUGUGCCAAGUUAAGCUAUGCCUCUCAUUCCACAUAUGGUCUAUCAUUAAAUAGCAGCAUUCCUAGAACAGAGCCACAUUUUGCCUUAUUCCUCCAGGGAGCAACUUGGCUUAGACCCAGGGAACUUCCCAAGUUCCGGCAAGUGUUAGCACUGCUGCUCAUGUGUGCUGUUUGAAGGGGACAAGACAUGGACCGGCUCGCAUCUUUUGUUGCAUUGGUAUCCAAACCCGUUUCCUGGCUUCUCUGUCAUUUUAGAGGCAUUCCAAGAGUAAUUUUAAAAUGACAAACAUAAAAUAGGAAAAAAACUUUUAAAUAACUUUCUAAGCUAAUUUGAUUUGUGCACAUUUGUAGUGAUACCAUCACAUGCGCAGUGCCUGGCAGGUAGCUCUUUUGAGAAGUCCUUUCAGGCCUGCCCUACCAAGGAGACCUAGGUUUGAACUUUUGUCAGUUUCUAUGAUACCAAGCAAUGGAGUUGGCCAUACUUUCUAUCCAAAAUCUGAUUUGUUGAACAGCUUCUGGCACACAGGACACACACAGAUUUCCUUUUUCAGAUUUCACUCUAAGAAAAUUAAUGAAUACAGCAAAUAUCAACACCUGAUGGACGAUCAUGAGAACGAUUAAAAGCCAACCAGCCAGCAACAGCUCCCAACCUUUAGGAAACAAUUACUUUGGUUAAGUUUUAAUCAGUUUGUCAAUUUUACAUUAAUUUUUAAAUGCAGAAAAUUUAAUACUAAAACUUAAUCUUUUGAGGUUAAGAAAACCUUUAUACUUUAGUGCUGUAACUGUUUCUAAACAUUAAAAUAGUUCCUAUGCAUUAACCUUAAAAAAACAAAACUCCAGUUAUACCAAGGUUUUACACUACAUUAUCUAAAUCGCCUCCUACCUCCAUUUGAGUUUUGGACAUCCAAGUUUCAGGGUGUACUGUUGAAACACUGAACAGUUAGCAUGUUUUCAGACUGAAGAGAGUCCAUGUCUUCCUGUCAACAUCUGAAGCCAGUUAGUUGACCCAAAAAGACUUUGUUCCCAGUUUCAACAAUUCUAAAGUUCCUUGAGGCAGAAUUCAGUUUUAAAGGCAUCGCCUACGAGCUACAGACAAUGGUGACUCUAUAGCUACAGUAAACUCCCAUGUAAAUCAGAUAGCUACUUGUUCUUGACUAAAAAUGUAAUUUUGACACGACCUAAGCUUUUCUGUUGAGGUCCUCUCCUUUAGCUUAGAAAACCUAAGUUUAGAUUUAUAUCACUACCCCUGUUUUUUACUUACGUGUGCCUUCCUUUAGGAAACUAUCCUGUUUAACCCAGUAUUCUGAAAGUUAGUUCUUCCUCAUUUACAUAUACAGCAGUCUGAGAACACAUGGAAUGGUUCACAAAAUCCUUUGUCAGCCCACUUAUAAGGGUAAACUGAGUACUUUUAAGGGGCAAAACUUUGCCAAGCCCUUAUACUUAUUUAAAUGAUGUUGCUAAGAGGUAUUACUGAGAACAAGAUCAAAAUAUGUAUAUAACAAAAUCUUUAAGUGAAAGCCAUUUAACUAAUAUUUAAAACCUCUGCAAUUAUUAGUUUAUUAGUAUCAUCCAGGACUCAGAUGUUCAGUAUUCCUCCUGAAAUUACAUAAACAAAUGCAAAUGGAAAGAAUCCAAGUCAAAAUUAUAUAACAAAACAGCACUCCAUCACAAAAGCGUGUAAAAUUACAAGAACGCUAUUUUAAAACACUGGCACUUUAAGAGAACGAUAAUCUCGAAAACCACAAAAUUGCCAAAUUGUUCCCUACACUGUUAAGCAGAUAAACAUAUGACCCUAAUGAAUGAGCUUGACUUUUGUAAAGAAAAAUCAAAUUCAAAUAAAUCAGAUAAUUCAUACUGAGAUACAAAGUUUAAGUGUCUUCUUCCCUCAUGUCUAUUUUGGUUUAUACAGGGGCAAACCAUGAUAUAGGAAAAUAUACCUGGUUUAAAAUGUGGUAUACAGUUCUAAAAGUUGGCCCAAUUAAUUAAAAAUACCUUUAAUGGUGGGUCUCAAGUUUCCUCAACAAUCCAUAUUUAGAUAACAGGAGAAGACAUUUACAGCCAGCACUUUUUUUUUCCCCAGAGCUUUGCUGGGACUAAUGUCAACAAAAAAACAUAACACGGCCGUCUUGUAUUUUAAUCUCACGCUUUUGGGGAUACAUUCUCAGGUCUUUAACUUGGGAACUGCAAAUAUAACUGCCAUUACAUGGUAAUGGGAGUUAAAGAAUGUAGAGUCCUCAUGUAAAGAUUAGAACAUACUUUUCUAUUAGUCCUUCAAGGACAGACUUUCAAAAUGUUUGAUUCUAAUAAUCCCAUGCUGUGAGUAGAUACGUUACUCUUCACUUUGUAAAUGUAACUGGGCUAGGUGAAAUCUGAUUAUCAACCGAUCAAGAUUUGAGUUUCAGUUAU
rnacentral:lncRNA from 1 species